CGCUGUAACUUAGAUGCCGUCAGACUUUGUCCCCAUCACUCCCCGGCUGGCUGGAUCCUCGCAAGCAUCUCUUGUACUGUCCCCUCCCCCUCGGGCUCUGCGCUUGCAGACUUUUCAUGCUGAAUUCUUUCUUUUUUUUUAGUGGCCUAAAGAACACACAUAAUUUAUUAUCUUUCAGUUUGGGGGAUCAGAAGUCUGGCCUGGGUCUCCCUGGGUAGAAUCAAGUUGUUGGCAGUGCUGCGUCCUUCUGGAAGCUCUAGAGGAAAACCCGUUUCCUUUCCUUUGCCAGCUUCUAGAAGCUGCCCACAUCCCUUGUCUGAAGGACCCCUUCCUCCACCUUCGAAGCCAGCGAGGCUUUAAUCUCUUUGACACUUCUGGAGAGAUCACCUUCUGAUCACAACCGGCAGCCACGCCAAAUUCUUUAGGAGGAAUUUCUUUUCCCAGCGUUUACUCGUGAGACCUUUUCCGGGAAAUCUUCAGAAACUAUAGUGCCAAGCAGAAUAUACAGCCAAAGGCACCAAAUUCCUUGUGUGUGUGUGCGCGCGCACGCGCUGUGGGCAUGUCCUGGCUGGACCAAACCGUGAGUGGCUGUGAAAAACAGGUUGCUUUGACGUCCAAGGAAAAAGAGACUUGGGAGGUAAAAGACCUCGAAAUGUGCUGUUAUUUAACCGAUUGGUUGUUCUGUGUGGGUUGGCCUCUCUUUGGUCCUGUAUUGGGGUGACCUGGGAAGUGCCCCGCCAGUCGUAGAAGCUUCUGUGGGUCUCACAGGACAGGGCGGACAGAAGUCCCGCCGCAGCGAGUGAGGACGUCCUCCCGAGAACUGCAGGACGGGACGCUUCCUCCUGACCGGGUAACAGGAGGAGAAGCUGGGAGCGAGCUCGGAAGUUUUUAAAUAACGGUUUCCAACCAGUCUGCUGGAUCUGGGCUGGGGCGUCCGCAGAGGGUUCCGAAAGGGGGUAUAGUUGCUAAUUACGUGUCUCCUUGUCCGUCUCUGAGCACGACGUGUUGAUGGUUUCUCCUCUUCCAACAGGUUGCUAAUUCACCCCGAGAUCUGGGACACUGUUUUUACAAGCGAAGAGAAGACCGAACCGCUUUCUGAAGCAACUAGUAUGCGUAGACAGGUUUUCUAUUAGAAAGUGUGCGUUCUUAUCACAUAAUAUCUAGUUAGUUUAUAGAGUGAUUCUCCCCCCAGUUUCUUGAACUUGGUAGCGUCACGUCUUGGACCUUGGUCGAUCGUGCUGUUAAAUAUUAAACACUAAAACGUUGGUGGUUCCUGUAUAAAAUCGUCCAAUUUUUAGUGUAUAUUUGUGAAGUCCUUGUUUUCUAUCAUUCCUUUUGUAGUAGUUGCCAUGUGAUGGAAGUUGCUGUGUAAAUUGUUAGUAGGCAUCCGGUAGGUCCUUCGUUACGAUCAGAUUUUGUGAAGGAAGGCAUUGGGCAAGUUGACGACUCUUCAGUUCUCAGCCCAGAGGGACUGUUGAGCCAACACCAGACAGCAUGUUGGUGAUACUUACCGGUUCACAACGAUUAGAAACUGUUCCUUUGGAAAUCUCCGGCGCUACCCUGUUGCCAAAAUUGAGAGUCGAACCGCAGUUCGAUGUCUUCAGGCUCUGAGGGCAGAGGCCAGAGUAAGGAGGAGGGGCCACCGCCGCCGCUGCAGUGUGUUAGCAUCCUUACGUCUGGAAAGCGUCUGGAAAGCGACAGAACUGCCUGACGCCCUGAGGCGCUCGUUAGUUAGUUUUGCAUGAGAUUUGAGUCCCCGACCAGGCCCCUGUGCUGUUCGUCCUCAGUAGUCACUGUCGAAAAUCUGGCAGGAUUUUACGCCCCAGCUCGCCCGCUUGUCCUGUCGCUGGGAGAAGGGGCAGAAGGGGGAGCCGUCUGCCCCGCGCCUGGCUGGCGGAUGAUAAGUGACUUGGGAUAGGCUCGAGUUUUUAAGAUACACUGUUUUUCUUUAACGAUUUCUUACCUAGAUUCUUAAGAGUCGUGGUUUUAUUAUUGGUCUUAGACGACAGGAUGAUGACUCUUGCCACUCAGAAAGGCGGUGCCAGCCCACGGGCGCCGGAGGCCCACGGGAUUGGCCCAGCAGAGUGACUCUGUCUGCAAAAUCAUGGAAGAAGUCGAGGGAUCGGAUAGUGCUGCUUAGAAAGAAACCCCGAGUGAACGGUGUGAGUUUUUUUUAAAGUUUCCUGUAUCACCAGUCGUGUUUGUAUUGCAAAUAUAUAAUGUUAUUGAGAAGUAAUUUGUCCUAUUUAUAGAUGACGUAGGUCACCCAAAGGGGUAAGUUUCCUCUGAUCUGAGCUACUGAGGCCCUGUUCCCGCCCUGCACAGACACUCUUCUGAUGGGCGGGGGCCGCGCUGGGCGAGGCUGAGCCGAGUGAGGCCAGGCUCUGGCCGCAGGCCACCUAACCAGCCCUGCGUGCAGGGCGCCUGCGGCCCUCGUCCAUGCCCGGGGGAGGGGAUUCGGCCCGUUGCUGUCGGGAUUUAGGUAGGAGCUGUCUUCCUUCCGCACGUACCAGAUGUCAGAGGCAAGCUCCCCUCACCGGAAAUACCUGCCAUGAAUAAUGAAUAAAGGUGCCUGAGCCCCUUGUCCUCGGA